UACGAAGGGUGCAAGCGUUAUCCGGAUUCAUUGGGUUUAAAGGGUGUGUAGGCGGGGCAAUAAGUCAGUGGUGAAAUCCUGCGGCUUAACCGUAGAAUUGCCAUUGAUACUGUUGCUCUUGAGUAGGCUCGACGUGGGCGGAAUGUGCCGUGUAGCGGUGAAAUGCGUAGAUAUCUGGAGGAAUACCGGUGGCGAAGGCGGCAUCCUGGACCGGCAUUGACGCUGAUGAGCGAAAGCUAGGGGAGCAAACGGG
rnacentral:rRNA from 1 species